rnacentral:rRNA from 1 species
UACGGAGGGUGCGAGCGUUGUCCGGAAUCACUGGGCGUAAAGGGCGCGUAGGUGGCGCGGGCAGUCAACGGUGAAAGUUCGGGGCUCAACCCUGAAUCGGCCGUCGAUACUCCCGGGCUUGAGCACUGUAGAGGCAGAUGGAAUUCCGGGUGUAGCGGUGGAAUGCGUAGAGAUCCGGAAGAACACCGGUGGCGAAGGCGGCGACCUGGUCCUUGACUGACGCUGAGGCGCGAAAGCGUGGGGAGCAAACAGG